AUGAACGCUAGCUACAGGCUUAACACAUGCAAGUCGAGGGGCAGCAUGGUCUUAGCUUGCUAAGGCCGAUGGCGACCGGCGCACGGGUGAGUAACGCGUAUCCAACCUUCCGUACACUCAGGGAUAGCCUUUCGAAAGAAAGAUUAAUACCUGAUGGUAUGAUGAGAUUGCAUGAUAGCAUCAUUAAAGAUUUAUCGGUGUACGAUGGGGAUGCGUUCCAUUAGGUAGUAGGCGGGGUAACGGCCCACCUAGCCGACGAUGGAUAGGGGUUCUGAGAGGAAGGUCCCCCACAUUGGAACUGAGACACGGUCCAAACUCCUACGGGAGGCAGCAGUGAGGAAUAUUGGUCAAUGGACGCGAGUCUGAACCAGCCAAGUAGCGUGAAGGAUGACUGCCCUAUGGGUUGUAAACUGCUUUUAUAAGGGAAUAAAGUGGGAGUCGUGACUCUUUUUGCAUGUACCUUAUGAAUAAGGACCGGCUAAUUCCGUG
rnacentral:rRNA from 1 species